UACAGAGGUCCCGAGCGUUGUUCGGAUUCAUUGGGCGUAAAGGGUGCGUAGGCGGUCUUCUAAGUUUGAUGUGAAAUCCCGGGGCUCAACCCUGGAAUUGCAUUGAAUACUGGAGGACUAGAGUACCGGAGAGGAAACUGGAAUUUACGGUGUAGCAGUGAAAUGCGUAGAGAUCGUAAGGAAGACCAGUGGCGAAGGCGAGUUUCUGGACGGUAACUGACGCGUGAGGCACGAAGGCCAGGGGAGCAAACGGG
rnacentral:rRNA from 1 species